rnacentral:lncRNA from 1 species
UAAUGUUUCACUGGCAGAAGUUAGUGGUGGCUAGAGCAAGACAGAAUGAAAUAGAGGACCUGGGAAGGACAGGAUUCCACAAACUAAAAACUCAGAACUGA